CUUAUAAAAAAAGCAGUGGUGGCCGAGUGGAUAUGACGUCCGACUUUCAAUCCGGAGGUCGUGGGUUCAAAUCCUGGCUCGUACCAAUGACUUUUCGGUGAAGGAAAACAUCGUGAGGAAACCUGCAUACAUCUGCGAAGAAAUUCAAAGGUGUAUGUGAAGUCCCCAAUUCGCAUUGGGCUAGCGUGGGGACUAUAGCCCAAGCCCUCUCGCGCAU